ensembl:misc_RNA Metazoa_SRP Metazoan signal recognition particle RNA
GCCAGGCAUGGUGGCACAUGCUUGUAGUCUCAGCUACUCAGAAGGCUGAGGCAGGAGAAAUGCUUGAGCCCAGGAGUUCAGGGCUGCAGUGAGCCAGGAUUGUGGCACUGCACUUCAGCCUGGGCAACAGAGUGAGACCCUGUCUCUA